rnacentral:rRNA from 1 species
AUGGUCAAGGAGAUUAUCCUGGACCUUUUUCGCGAGUUCGCUAGGGGGACGUUGGAUGUAUCCCGGCUUAACUACAGGAUCAUCUCCUUGAUUCCCAAAGUACCAGGAGCCGCUGAUAUCAGGCAGUUCCGCCCUAUCACGAUCCUUAAUGUGAUCUUUCAGAUUCUGGCUAAAGGGUAUGCCGCUAGGGCGGCCCUGAUUGCCCCUCGUAUUCACCAUCCGAACCAGUCGGCCUUUACGAAAGGCAGGUACAUUCUUGAUGGGAUCCUUGUACUCCACGAGAUCGUCCAUGAAGUCAGGAGCAAACACCUCCGUGCGGUGUUCUUCAAGAUCGACUUCCAUAAAGCUUAUGACACUGUCCACUGGUCCUUCCUUCGAGAAGUGCUGCUCAAGCGUGGGUUUGAUCACCACUGGGUAGCUCGGGUGAUGCAGCUGGUGACUAGUGGUCACAUGACAGUGAAUGUGAAUGGGGAGAUUGGACCCUACUUCCUGACUAGACAGGGAGUUCGGCAAGGCGGUCUGAUUUCCCCCUUUCUCUUCAACCUUGUGGUCGACACCUUGGCCUCGAUCCAAGAUUUGGCCAAACAGGCUGGCCACUUUAGGGGAUUUGCCCCCAUCUUGUGGCCAAUGGAGGUCUGA